UUUAUGGAGAGUUUGAUCCUGGCUCAGAGUGAACGCUGGCGGCGUGCCUAAUACAUGCAAGUUGAACGAUGAAGCUUCUAGCUUGCUAGAAUGCUGAUUAGUGGCGCACGGGUGAGUAACGCAUAGGUUAUGUGCCUCUUAGUUUGGGAUAGCCAUUGGAAACGAUGAUUAAUACCAGAUACUCCCUACGGGGGAAAGAUUUAUCGCUAAGAGAUCAGCCUAUGUCCUAUCAGCUUGUUGGUAAGGUAAUGGCUUACCAAGGCUAUGACGGGUAUCCGGCCUUAGAAGGGUGAACGGACACACUGGAACUGAGACACGGUCCAGACUCCUACGGGAGGCAGCAGUAGGGAAUAUUGCUCAAUGGGGGAAACCCUGAAGCAGCAACGCCGCGUGGAGGAUGAAGGUUUUAGGAUUGUAAACUCCUUUUGUUAGAGAAGAUAAUGACGGUAUCUAACGAAUAAGCACCGGCUAACUCCGUGCCAGCAGCCGCGGUAAUACGGAGGGUGCAAGCGUUACUCGGAAUCACUGGGCGUAAAGAGCGCAUAGGCGGGAUAGUCAGUCAGGUGUGAAAUCCUAUGGCUUAACCAUAGAACUGCAUUUGAAACUACUAUUCUAGAGUGUGGGAGAGGUAGGUGGAAUUCUUGGUGUAGGGGUAAAAUCCGUAGAGAUCAAGAGGAAUACUCAUUGCGAAGGCGACCUGCUGGAACAUUACUGACGCUGAUUGCGCGAAAGCGUGGGGAGCAAACAGGAUUAGAUACCCUGGUAGUCCACGCCCUAAACAAUGGAUGCUAGUUGUUGGAGGGCUUAGUCUCUCCAGUAAUGCAGCUAACGCAUUAAGCAUCCCGCCUGGGGAGUACGGUCGCAAGAUUAAAACUCAAAGGAAUAGACGGGGACCCGCACAAGCGGUGGAGCAUGUGGUUUAAUUCGAAGAUACACGAAGAACCUUACCUAGGCUUGACAUUGAGAGAAUCCGCUAGAAAUAGUGGAGUGUCUAGCUUGCUAGACCUUGAAAACAGGUGCUGCACGGCUGUCGUCAGCUCGUGUCGUGAGAUGUUGGGUUAAGUCCCGCAACGAGCGCAACCCCCUUUCUUAGUUGCUAACAGGUUAUGCUGAGAACUCUAAGGAUACUGCCUCCGUAAGGAGGAGGAAGGUGGGGACGACGUCAAGUCAUCAUGGCCCUUACGCCUAGGGCUACACACGUGCUACAAUGGGGUGCACAAAGAGAAGCAAUACUGCGAAGUGGAGCCAAUCUUCAAAACAUCUCUCAGUUCGGAUUGUAGGCUGCAACUCGCCUGCAUGAAGCUGGAAUCGCUAGUAAUCGCAAAUCAGCCAUGUUGCGGUGAAUACGUUCCCGGGUCUUGUACUCACCGCCCGUCACACCAUGGGAGUUGUGUUUGCCUUAAGUCAGGAUGCUAAAUUGGCUACUGCCCACGGCACACACAGCGACUGGGGUGAAGUCGUAACAAGGUAACCGUAGGUGAACCUGCGGUUGGAUCACCUCCUUU
rnacentral:rRNA from 1 species